AGUAUAUAGCUGCAGCGCUCAAUGGAUAUCAAAUAGAAGACUGGCAGCAGCUGUGAGGGAUGUUCUGUCUUCGGAUCAGGGCUUCCCAGUUGGAGCCUGACAGAGUUUCCUUCACAGCCCAGAUACAUGAGUGAUAUGUACUUUGAUGAUCAUACAGAAUCAUUAUUACAGCGCAUUACAAGGUGACACCCGUCUGGGUAGCAGGCAGCAGCAUCGGCUAACUCCUACUAUCAAAUACUGUAUGCGAUCAUAGGUGUUGUACCCUGAUCUCAAAACCAAAAGGAAUGGCAUCAACUGUUGUAAACUUCUCAUCAAGAUGGUCCUUGGACAGCAUCCCUGUAGCAGCCCCAGCAGAGAAGCAAUAGACCGCUUUAUAAACAUUGGUCUCCUGCUUAUGUACAUCUGGCGGCACUGAUCACUGAUCGUCAAGAGGAGGUCAAGCCCACUGAGACCUUGCACCUGAGCCUGC